GACGAACGCUGGCGGCGCGCUUAACACAUGCAAGUCGAACGGAAAGGCCUGCUUUCCCUUGUGGAUUGCGGGUACUCGAGUGGCGAACGGGUGAGUAACACGUGAGUGAUCUGCCCCCAACUUGGGUAUAAGCCUGGGAAACUGGGUCUAAUUCCCGAUAGGACUGCAGGGUGGUGCCUGUGGUGGAAAACGAUUUUCUAGUGGUUGGGGAUGAGCUCGCGGCCUAUCAGCUUGUUGGUGGGGUAAUGGCCUACCAAGGCGGCGACGGGUAGCCGGCCUGAGAGGGUGGACGGCCACAUUGGGACUGAGAGACGGCCCAGACUCCUACGGGAGGCAGCAGUGGGGAAUAUGGCACAAUGGGCGGAAGCCUGAUGCAGCGACGCCGCGUGGGGGAUGACGGCCUUCGGGUGGUAAACUCCUUUCGACCGCGAGGAAGCCACCUGGUUGGAAGGGUGGUGACGGUAGUGGUAGAAGAAGCACCGGCUAACUACGUG
rnacentral:rRNA from 1 species